AUUGAACGCUGGCGGCAUGCCUUACACAUGCAAGUCGAACGGUAACAGGUCUUCGGAUGCUGACGAGUGGCGAACGGGUGAGUAAUACAUCGGAACGUGCCCGAUCGUGGGGGAUAACGAGGCGAAAGCUUUGCUAAUACCGCAUACGAUCUACGGAUGAAAGCGGGGGAUCUUCGGACCUCGCGCGGACGGGGCGGCCGAUGGCAGAUUAGGUAGUUGGUGGGAUAAAAGCUUACCAAGCCGACGAUCUGUAGCUGGUCUGAGAGGAUGAUCAGCCACACUGGGACUGAGACACGGCCCAGACUCCUACGGGAGGCAGCAGCGGGGAAUUUUGGACAAUGGGCGAAAGCCUGAUCCAGCCAUGCCGCGUGCAGGAUGAAGGCCUUCGGGUUGUAAACUGCUUUUGUACGGAACGAAAAGCCUCUUUCUAAUAAAGAGGGGUCAUGACGGUACCGGAAGAAUAAGCACCGGCUAACUACGUG
rnacentral:rRNA from 1 species